rnacentral:rRNA from 1 species
UUCCGGUUGAUCCUGCCGGACCCCACUGCUAUCGGGAUAGGACUAAGACAUGCUAGUCGAGUGACUCAGGCAAAACGAGUCACGGCACACAGCUCAGUAACACGUGGCUAAUCUGCCCUCAGGACGAGAACAACCCCGGGAAACUGGGGCUAACUCUUGAUAGGUGAAGAACUCUGGAAUGAGUCUUUGCCUAAAUAGAUUCACGUUAUCCUCGUGAAUUUGCCUAAGGAUGAGGCCGCGACCGAUCAGGUUGUUGGCGAGGUAAUGGCUCACCAAGCCUUUUACCGGUGCGGGCCGUGGGAGCGGGAGCCCGGAGAUGGGUACUGAGACAAGGACCCAGGCCCUACGGGGCGCAGCAGUCGCGAAACCUUUGCAAUACACGAAAGUGUGACAGGGCUAUCCCGAGUGCCAUCCGCUGAGGAAGGCUUUUACCCAGUCUAGAACGCUGGGGGAAUAAGGAGAGGGCAAGUCUGGUGUCAGCCGCCGCGGUAAUACCAGCUCUCCGAGUGGUGUGGAUGUUUAUUGGGCCUAAAGCAUCCGUAGCUGGCUAGGUAAGUCCCUUGUUAAAUCCACCGAAUUAAUCGU